GUAACGCGUAGUUACUUGCCCCAGGGUCCGGGAUAGCGGUGGGAAACUGCCAGUAAUACCGGAUGAUAUCUACGGAUCAAAGGUGUGAUUCCGCCCUGGGAGAGGACUGCGUCCUAUUAGCUUGUUGGUGGGGUAAUGGCCUACCAAGGCUCUGAUGGGUACCGGGUGUGAGAGCAUGGCCCGGCUCACUGGGACUGAGACACUGCCCAGACACCUACGGGUGGCUGCAGUCGAGAAUCUUCGGCAAUGCGCGAAAGCGUGGCCGAGCGACACCGCGUGCGGGAUGAAGGCUUUCGGGUUGUAAACCGCUGUCAGAGGGGAGGAAAUCUAUGGGGGCUAUCCCCCAUAGUUGACCUAUCCUCAGAGGAAGGACGGGCUAAGUUCGUGCCAGCAGCCGCGGUAACACGAACCGUCCAAACGUUAUUCGGAAUUAUUGGGCUUAAAGGGUGCGUAGGCGGUGCAGUAAGUUGGGUGUGAAAUCCCUCGGCUCAACCGAGGAACUGCGCCCAAAACUACUGUACUCGAGGGAGACAGAGGUAAGCGGAACUGAUGGUGGAGCGGUGAAAUGCGUUGAUAUCAUCAGGAACACCAGUGGCGAAAGCGGCUUACUGGGUCUCUUCUGACGCUGAGGCACGAAAGCUAGGGUAGCGAACGGGAUUAGAUACCCCGGUAGUCCUAGCUGUAAACGAUGAGCACUUGGUCGGAGGUUCCCCGAGGAUUUCCGGCCGUAGCGAAAGUGUUAAGUGCUCCGCCUGGGGGAGUAUGGUCGCAAGGCUGAAACUCAAAGGAAUUGACGGGGGCUCACACAAGCGGUGGAAGGAUGUGGCUUAAUUCGAGGCUACGCGAAGAACCUUAUCCAGGUCUUGACAUGCUAGGAUGACUCGCCUGAAAAGGGAUGAGUUUGCCUUCGGGUGAAACUAGCACAGGUGCUGCAUGGCUGUCGUCAGCU
rnacentral:rRNA from 1 species